AUUGAACGCUGGCGGCAGGCCUAACACAUGCAAGUCGAGCGGAUGAAGGGAGCUUGCUCCUGGAUUCAGCGGCGGACGGGUGAGUAAUGCCUAGGAAUCUGCGUGGUAGUGGGGGAUAACGUCCGGAAACGGGCGCUAAUACCGCAUACGUCCUGAGGGAGAAAGUGGGGGAUCUUCGGAUCUCACGCUAUCAGAUGAGCCUAGGUCGGAUUAGCUAGUUGGUGGGGUAAAGGCCUACCAAGGCGACGAUCCGUAACUGGUCUGAGAGGAUGAUCAGUCACACUGGAACUGAGACACGGUCCAGACUCCUACGGGAGGCAGCAGUGGGGAAUAUUGGACAAUGGGCGAAAGCCUGAUCCAGCCAUGCCGCGUGUGUGAAGAAGGUCUUCGGAUUGUAAAGCACUUUAAGUUGGGAGGAAGGGCAGUAAGUUAAUACCUUGCUGUUUUGACGUUACCAACAGAAUAAGCACCGGCUAACUUCGUG
rnacentral:rRNA from 1 species